UUUCUCUGUCUCUGUCUCUCUCUUCUCUCUCA
rnacentral:sRNA from 1 species